ACAGACACCCCGGAAGUCACGUACCCACUCUGUAGGUGCCCCGGGGCACAGGCAAGCGGACGAGCCAGUUAUCCCUCAGAGCUCCUGCUGCCUCGCCCGCUUUCUCUCGGAAACGUGAAGUGUGGCCUCAGCUGAAAGUGAGGUGGGCCUCAUUCAAUCAGUUGAAUUCUUCAAGAGAGAAAAACUGAAGUCCCUUAGAAGGAAAGAGUUCUGCCUUCAGACUGUCUUUGAACUUAAGACUGUAGCGUCGACUCCUGCCGGAAUUUCCAGCCUGCUGGCCAGCUCUGCAGAUUCACACUUGCCAGCCUCCACAAUCGCAGCUGAGGCGGAGGAACCCUAAGGGCUCAUUGAGAUCAUGGAUUUGCCCUUCUAUGCAUUGAUGGAGCACCUGCUGCCCACAGCGUCUGUAUUUGGUGCUGGGAUGCUGAGGACACUGAGAUCUUCAAACAGAGGCUGCCACUCUAAGCAAACAGAUCCCGAGCCCUGGACUCUGAAGCUUGGGCCCAGUUCUCCUUUUCUCCGGGUUUCAGAUCCCACUGUGAAGUGAGGGGGCCCUUCUGAUUCAGGACCCGGGGAAGCCAGGGGCAUGAGCAUCGGUGCCUCUUCUCUAUUUCAAGGACCCUUCUGGGUGUAAAGUUCUCUGAGAUGCCUUACAUGGAUUCCCACCACUGCAAGAUAACCAUCGUAUGAGGCUUCAGGCUUGACCAAAUCUGACUGGCUGGCUGCCGGAGACACUGCUACCCAUCGGCCCUUAAUAAAUGGCCUCAUUUGAUCAUCAUGUGAUCUUCAGAAGCUGGGCUUGAUUAUCCUUGCCAAACAAAAUGCUGAAACCAAAAAUCUGAAAGGGACAUGACCCUAUGCCAGCCCACACCACAGUCUUGGUCAUCACUCCUGUUUCCAUGGUGUUAACAGCAGCAGUUACUUGGUUACGGAGAGCUUUUCCUUACGCCAGCACCCUAUCCAUAUCGCUUGGACACCCUUGGCAACCACGUUCUACUCCUCGUUUCUACGAGUUUGGCUAUUUUAAUACCUCAUCUAAGUGGAAUUGUGCUGCAUUUGUCCUUCUGUGACCGGCUCACCUCACGUAGCGUGCUGUUCUCCAGGUUCAUCCAUGUUAUCCUGUUCAGCAGGAUUUCCUUCUCUUCUGAAGCUGAAUCAUAAUCCAUCGCUAACGUUAUCUUGUAACUCUUCUAUUAAACUCUCUAUCUCCUUA
rnacentral:lncRNA from 1 species